rnacentral:miRNA from 1 species
UUUAGCACCCUCUGGACAGCAACC